UCUGUUACCUCAUUGCUAAUUUCCCUAGCAAAUAAACCAGCAGCUGCUGGUCCAAGUUACCACCGAGAACAGGUCACUGCAUGCAUGGGACAGGAUGCUUUCAUGGAGCCCUUCGGUGACACACUUGGGGUCUUUCAGUGCAAACUAUACCUCCUUCUUUUCGGUGCUUGCUCGGGGCUGAAGGUGACAGUGCCAUCACACACUGUCCAUGGCAUCAGAGGUCAGGCCCUCUACCUACCCGUCCACUAUGGCUUCCACACUCCAGCAUCAGACAUCCAGAUCAUAUGGCUAUUUGAGAGACCCCACACGAUGCCCAAAUACUUACUGGGCUCUGUGAAUAAGUCUGUGGUUCCUGACUUGGAAUACCAACACAAGUUCACGAUGAUGCCACCCAAUGCCUCUCUGCUUAUCAACCCACUGCAGUUCUCUGAUGAAGGCAAUUACAUCGUGAAGGUCAACAUUCAGGGAAAUGGAACUCUAUCCUCCAGUCAGAAGAUACAAGUCACGGUUGAUGAUCCUGUCACAAAGCCAGUGGUGCAGAUUCAUCCUCCCUCUGGGUCCGUGGAGUAUGUGGGGAACAUGACCCUGACAUGCCAGGUGGAAGGGGGCACUCGGCUAGUUUACCAAUGGCUAAAAAAUGGGAGACCUGCCCACACCAGCUCUACCUACUCCUUUUCUCCCCAAAACAAUACCCUUCAUAUUGCUCCAGUGACCAAGGAAGACAUUGGGAAUUACAGCUGCCUGGUGAGGAACCCUGUCAGUGAAAUGGAAAGUGAUAUCAUUAUGCCCAUCAUAUAUUAUGGACCUUAUGGACUUCAAGUGAAUUCUGAUAAAGGGCUAAAAGUAGGGGAAGUGUUUACUGUUGACCUUGGAGAGGCCAUCCUAUUUGACUGUUCUGCUGAUUCUUAUCCCCCCAACACCUACUCCUGGAUUAGGAGGACUGACAAUACAACAUAUAUCAUUAAGCAUGGGCCUCGCUUAGAAGUUGCAUCUGAGAACGUAGCGCAGAAGACAACUGACUAUGUGUGCUGUGCUUACAACAACAUAACCGGCAGGCAAGAUGAAACUCAUUUCACAGUUAUCAUCACUUCUGUAGGACUGGAGAAGCUUGCACAAAAAGGAAAAUCAUUGUCACCUUUAGCAAGUAUAACUGGAAUAUCACUAUUUUUGAUUAUAUCCAUGUGUCUUCUCUUCCUAUGGAAAAAAUAUCAACCCUACAAAGUUAUAAAACAGAAACUAGAAGGCAGGCCAGAAACAGAAUACAGGAAAGCUCAAACAUUUUCAGGCCAUGAAGAUGCUCUGGAUGACUUCGGAAUAUAUGAAUUUGUUGCUUUUCCAGAUGCUUCUGGUGUUUCCAGGAUCCCAAGCAGAUCUGUUCCAGUCUCUGAUGGUAUAUCGGGACAAGAUUUGCACAGUACAAUAUAUGAAGUUAUUCAGCACAUCCCUGCCCAGCAGCAAGACCAGCCAGAUUCACAGAUAACUAGACAUUUUACAGAGGAGGAAACUGACUCAGACUUUCAGGCCCUCGGUUUCCCCAUCAAAACAUGAAGAGGCUGAAAUAGGCAACCUCCACCCUGCUUUGAUUUUCCCAAAAGUGACAUUCUCCAAGCAGGAUGGAUGUAGCAAUUCCAGAAGUGAUAUAAACAUGCCGCACCAUCCAGAAAAUGGAAAAAGCCACUUCAUGUGCUACUUCCUUGGGUGUGAGGAAAACUUUCCCAGAAGCCUCUACUAGAAUUCCAGUAGUGUUUCCUUGACCAUACAUGCUACAUGCCCUUCCCUAAAGGAAUUAUUGGCAAGAGGAGUGGGAUUACCUUGAUUGAAACAAUACUCAGAAUUUACUUCCCUGGAUAUGGUAGGGAAGACAACACCUUCCGAAGCAUGUGAGUAGUUGGAAAAACAAUGAAUAUCUGAUUAAAAUUGAAUUUUGUAUGGAAUGAGGAACAGGUGGAAGUGGACGUCAGAAGUGAGAUAGAAAGCAAAUAAAGGGGGAAAUGCCCUUGGAAACACCAACUUCAGGAGAUGCCAUCGCCAUUAUGAAGAUGCCAGGGAAGGUUAAGAAACAGCAGUUAAAGAAGCAAAAGGUGAACUUGGAAAUAAACUUUAAAGAGAAAAAUUGAAUAUGAAUUUUAUUGUUGUAUGUCCAUAAAUAUCUUUUAAGAAGGGUGGGUGACCCUAUAUAUUCUGGUUCCAGAUCAGGAAGAUUCUCAUGUCUACAAUGA